GAAACCCUAAUCUCCAGUGUGAUGGUAUUUGGAGGUGGGGCCUUUGGGAGGUAACUGGGCUUGGAUGAGGUCAUGGGGGUGGAACUCAUGAUGGAAUUGGAGCCUUUACAAGGGAAUGAAGAGACAAGAGCUCUCUUUAUGCCACGUGAGGAUACAGCAAGGCCCCAAUCUGCAAGCCAGGAAGAGUCGUCACGAGAACCAGACCAUGCAGGAACUCUGAUCGUGGACAUUUCAACCUCCAGAACUGUGAUCCAAAAUGCAUAUGUAUCUUUGGAAGAAACUCUGAAGUAAAGGCCGGAAUAUUCUUUGUUUAAAACAUUAAAAACAAAACAGACCAAAGCAUCAAGCAAGAAGUUUCCUGGCAAUAAACUAAGCACAGCAUUAUUUUUUAAGGAACACAAAUUAAGUGUUCAACCUGUGGCAAAUUUGUACUUUCUCCCUGAAUUAUGUUGUUAUCAAAGAAAAAAAUUGGGAAGCAUGGCAAAAUAUCAUCAAAACUGAAACUAGAAUUAAACAAAACUAAAUUAAAAUGAAAUAAAAUGAUGUCCAUUCUUAA
rnacentral:lncRNA from 1 species